AGUGGAAUUGCUAGGUCAUAUGGUAAUUCUAUGCUUUGAGAAACUGCCAAACUAUUUUCCAAAGUGGCUGCACCAUUUUAUAUUCCUACCAGCAGU
rnacentral:pre_miRNA from 1 species